UACGUAGGGGGCAAGCGUUGUCCGGAAUCAUUGGGCGGAAAGAGCGUGUAGGCGGCCCGGUAAGUCCGCUGUGAAAGUCGGGGGCUCAACCCUCGGAUGCCGGUGGAUACUGUCGGGCUUGAGUACGGAAGAGGCGAGUGGAAUUCCUGGUGUAGCGGUGAAAUGCGCAGAUAUCAGGAGGAACACCAAUUGCGAAGGCAGCUCGCUGGGACGUUACUGACGCUGAGACGCGAAAGCGUGGGGAGCAAACAGG
rnacentral:rRNA from 1 species